rfam:Capsicum annuum cultivar Zunla-1 chromosome 4, whole genome shotgun sequence
ACUUUAUGGUUUGUGAAUUGCAUGAUUUUAUCCAUGAACCAUUGGCACAUUUCAUAUAAAGUCUCACCACUAUAUUAAUGAAAAUUUAUGAUUUCAUCCCUUAAUUU